rnacentral:rRNA from 1 species
AAGAAGCACCGGCUAACUCCGUGCCAGCAGCCGCGGUAAUACGGAGGGUGCGAGCGUUAAUCGGAAUUACUGGGCGUAAAGCGCAUGCAGGCGGCCUGUUAAGUCAGAUGUGAAAGCCCGGGGCUUAACCUCGGAAUUGCAUUUGAAACUGGCAGGCUAGAGUCUUGUAGAGGGGGGUAGGAAUUUCAGGUGUAGCGGUGAAAUGCGUAGAGAUCUGAAGGAAUACCAGUGGCGAAGGCGGCCCCCUGGACAAAGACUGACGCUCAGAUGCGAAAGCGUGGGGAGCAAACAGGAUUAGAUACCCUGGUAG